CUGCAAAAAACCGGGCGCUGAGCCAGCAGGCCCGGACCUGGACCACGCCUUCCAACGUUUCCGCGGACAGAGUAGGAGCCACGGGGGACCGAAAGCUGGUGGCAAAGUUCCUGCUUGUGGCUGACGUAAGGAAGUAGAUAUGGAACCAAUCCUCCACAAAUAUGAAGGGCAGGGACAACAACUCUAACAUAUUUGCAUUUUUACUGUCGCUCCUGCACCAGGGAUACGGAAUCUCAGCGCUGGAAAAGGCUGCCAAGCAGUCAACGUAUGCCUUCCUUGACACCAUGUCUACCAGCUCUCAAACCAGAUACAUACAGAGAGGAAGAUCCUCCGUCUGAUGAUUCACUCCCCAAGUGACUGCCCCGGCCGGAACCUCCUCCUGGUCUGAGUGGGAGCUUUUAUGAGCAUCUCAAUCUUGACUUCGGUCCUCACUCCUCCCCUUGGCUGGAGGGCAGAGGGAGUGAGGAGGCUGAGGCUCAGGUUCUCAGCGUCUACGUCAACACGGAAGGCAGUGAUGCAGGAAGCAUGGCAAGCAGCAGUGGGCACAGCCCUUGCCAGAAGCAUCCAGAAUCAGUUCUGCCAGUUUAUUUCUACCGUACUCUCCACUCCUUCUCCUCAGAACACCUAGGAGAUGGCGCUCAGCGAGGCUGGACAGCACGAAGCUGCCAGCAGGGAUUUUUUUUUUUCUUUCCAGAAACCUGAGCUGUAAGGAGCACAUCAACGAAGAGACAACAGCAGGCACCCCAAGUUGCGGCUCCUCAGACUUCCAAAUUCUUUGUUUCAUUCUAACGUGUCCUUCCCAGACGCCUGUAAGAAAAUGGCUCUCACUUUUCAUUGGCUGCCCCUCCCCGAGUUGAGCCCUGGCGUCGUCUUCAUUGGGUGUUGCUGCUGUCACGUCCGUUCGCCACACCCACCUCCCCCAUCGGCGCCCAGUGACCUUCGAGGGAAAAGUAAUUUAUAGCGCUCGGGGGGCGGGAGCUGG